rnacentral:rRNA from 1 species
UACGUAGGGUGCAAGCGUUAAUCGGAAUUACUGGGCGUAAAGCGUGCGCAGGCGGUUCGGAAAGAGAGGUGUGAAAUCCCAGGGCUUAACCUUGGAACUGCACUUCUAACUACCGGGCUAUAGUACGUCAGAGGGGGGUAGAAUUCCACGUGUAGCAGUGAAAUGCGUAGAGAUGUGGAGGAAUACCGAUGGCGAAGGCAGCCCCCUGGGAUGAUACUGACGCUCAUGCACGAAAGCGUGGGGAGCAAACAGG